rnacentral:rRNA from 1 species
GACGAACGCUGACGGUGUGCUUCACACAUGCAAGUCGAACGAGGUAGCAAUACCCAGUGGCGGACGGGUGAGUAACGCGUGGGAAUCUGCCUUUAGAUGGGGGAUAACGGGUCGAAAGACUCGCUAAUACCGCAUAUGACGAAAGUUGAAAGGAGUAAUCCGUCUAAAGAUGAGCCCGCGUCCGAUUAGCUAGUUGGUAGAGUAAAAGCCUACCAAGGCGACGAUCGGUAGCUGGUCUGAGAGGAUGAUCAGCCACAAUGGGACUGAGACACGGCCCAUACUCCUACGGGAGGCAGCAGUGGGGAAUUUUACGCAAUGGGCGAAAGCCUGACGUAGCGACACCGCGUGAGCGAAGAAGCCCCUUGGGGUGUAAAGCUCUGUCAGCUGGAACGAAAAAAAAUGACGGUACCAGCAGAGGAAGCAUCGGCUAACUACGUG